rnacentral:tRNA from 1 species
GGUGGCACAGUGUUUAAAGCACCUGGCUGCUAACCAGAAGCUCGGUGGUUCAAACCCACCAACCA